rnacentral:lncRNA from 1 species
CUUGCAGUCUCUGUAGCCAGCAGGUUGGUGCUGCGAUUAUCUCCCUCUGCCAUCAUCUCUGAGAUGCCAUCUCCAUGAGCGCAGGCCGCCUUCCUAGUGAACCCUCCUACUGAGACCCGCACGGCGACCACAGCACCAGAGUCAAUGUUCAUCGAACGACAAUUUAUCACAUGGCUGAAGAACACACGAAUUUGAGCUAUAGAAGAAUAGUCAUUCAGCAGGUCCACGCAGCGUUUAAGAGCUGUAACACUCACCACGAAAGUCUGCAACUUCACUCCUGAAACUGGUGAGACCACGGACCCACUGGAAGGGAUGAGCAACUCCAGAGACACCGUCUUUAAGAGCUGUAACACUCACUGCGAAUGUCUGCAACUUCACUCUUGAAGUCAGCGAGACCACGAACCCACCAGAAGGAAGAAACUCCAGACACAUCUGAACAUUUGAAGGAACAAACCCUGGACACACCAUCUUUAAGAACUGUAACGCUCACUGUGAGGGUCUGUGGUUUCAUUUUGAAGUCACCAAGACCAAGAACCCACCAAUUCUGGACACACUAUGAUUAUGGGGAUUGUUCUACUGAGACCUUUCUUUUGAAAUCUUAAUUGGCUCUGGGUAUUAAUCAGUACAUUCUAUACAAUAAAAUACUUUCUCUUACCCUGUGAUAUACUGGAAAAAAGUCUUAAUACUCACGUAAAGCUAAUAGUGUUCAUUUUUUCACUAGAUGCCAUUCCAGGGAUGCCUUGAACUCCAGAAUUACCUGAAUGUAAGAUUUUCAUAUCAAUUAGCUAUGGCCAAUUUAAUAUUCAUCUCUGUAUUAGAAGAUGCUGUAUGGAGGGGACAGUAGCAUCCCAAACCUAGUUGAGAAAGAAGAUGAAAAAAAUGUGCAAUAAAAACUUAGGGA